GGGGAAUAUUGCACAAUGGGCGAAAGCCUGAUGCAGCAACGCCGCGUGAAGGAUGAAGGGUUUCGGCUCGUAAACUUCUAUCAAUAGGGACGAAAAAAAUGACGGUACCUAAAUAAGAAGCCCCGGCUAACUACGUGCCAGCAGCCGCGGUAAUACGUAGGGGGCAAGCGUUAUCCGGAAUUACUGGGUGUAAAGGGAGAGUAGGCGGCAUGGUAAGUUAGAUGUGAAAGCCCGGGGCUUAACCUCGGGAUUGCAUUUAAAACUAUCAAGCUAGAGUACAGGAGAGGUAAGUGGAAUUCCUAGUGUAGCGGUGAAAUGCGUAGAUAUUAGGAAGAACACCAGUGGCGAAGGCGACUUACUGGACUGAAACUGACGCUGAGGCUCGAAAGCGUGGGGAGCGAAC
rnacentral:rRNA from 1 species